GUCUACGGCCACGCUACCCUGAACAAGCCCAAUCCCGUCUGAUCUCGGAAGCUAAGCAGGGUCGGACCUGGUUAGUACUUUGAUGGGAGACCACCUAGGAAGACCAGGUGCUGUAGGCA
rnacentral:rRNA from 1 species